UCCGGAUAUUCAGACUUAAAACUCAAGAUAUCCGGAUCCGGAUCCAGUUUUGACUUAUUCUAGAUUUUACUAUCAGGAUUUGAGUUGAGAUAUCCCGAAUAUUCUAUUUUCAUAGCAUAUCUUGAGCAUAUAUCAGAACGAAUCCCAUAUCCUGGAUAAUAAUUUGCAGCCCCAAUAUUAAGGAUUUCAUGAAUGAGACUGAAGGUCACGCACUGCUCCACAUAUUCUAACACCGUACUUGGUUUUGAACUUAAGAAUACAUCGCUAUGUUAAAACCAAAAUUGAUUUAACAAAAAAGAAAAACCAAAAUCUAAUUAACUGGAACAUACUCCAACUUCUUUAAGGCUAUGAGCAUGCGUUUCCUACGCGGGACGGACCACAAAACGAGUUACCAUUCACCACUGUUAUUUUAAUAUAUUGUCAAAUGAUACAAAAAUUAAAUGGAGUGUUGGCGGUUUUUUAGCACGAACAAAUUAGUGGAACGCCAUGUAUAAUCAUUUUUUUUUUAUCAAAUCCAUGUAUAAUCAUAACAUAUCAAAUGAGGUGUGUUUUAAGAUGCGGUUCUUUAUGAUUAUUAUAUUUAGUUGAGAAAGUUUUAAGAGAUUUUGUUAACUAACAUUAUUAAU
rnacentral:lncRNA from 1 species